CCCUUCCUCCCCUCCUGGAACCCCACCCCUGUGGCCUUGCCUCCUUCCCCUAAGCAGUGCCCCCUACACACACUCCUCCCCAUGAGUGCUCCCCGUGGCUCCUCAGCCGCCACCUGUGCACGUAGUUGUGGGAGUGGAGGUGCGCCAGCCCGCGGGCGAUCUCCAGGCCCAUCCUCUGCAGUGUCCGCAGGUCUCGAGGGGGCAGCUCAGGGGACAGGCCCUCGGGGGGCCGCUGGGCCCGGAGGAAGAACCCGAGGCUCAGAGAGGGAAAUUCUCUUGACUGAGUGGCACAGCCAGGAAGAGGUGGAUCCGGAUUCGAACCCAGAUGCGAGAUCCUGUGACGUGACCUCAGCCUGCCACUGGCUGUCUCUGAGAUUGAGAUCCAGGAUGACCUCACCAUGGACUGCCCCACAAGAACUCCCAGAGCUGGUUUCAGAUUAAGGGAUCGCUUCCACCAAGAUGAUCUCUGACUCCCUAUGGGCUGCUUCCAAGAUUCUGCGGCUCCCAUCUCUGCCUUUCCCCUCGGCCGCCCGGGGCCUCAGCUCCCUGGCCCCUGAGGGGAGACUCUCGGGGCCUUCCAUCCCAUCCCUGGGGCCGUGGGGUCCUCGUCAAGGUGCCGGGCAGUACCUGAGUGUGAAGGCUGCGGGGCAGGCAUCGGCAGGGAGACCUCGGCCAGCGGGAGAAUGUAGACAUCAGGCAGCGACUGUGAGGAGGAGGUCUCCUCCGCUGGCGGAGUGUACUCCCCGGAGCAAUCCUCCCCUUCAGGGUUCUCAAACUCCUGGGGCCGGGAGGGGUGAGAGGUGGAAGAACAUAGGGCUGAGA